rnacentral:lncRNA from 1 species
AUGGUGACUCUUGCAUUGACAGAUGCCAGCAAGAAUGCCCUGACUGACCCAUAUAUUCUGCUCAUUGUCCUGCUGUCCUUGGUGGUGAACACCAUCCCCUCGCUCACCGUCCGCUUGUACCGCACUAUCAUGGGCAAAACCACCAUUCAGCAGGUGAGGGCUGCUUGGGGGCUCAUGAAGGGAAGGAUCUGCCUUCCUCCCAGGUACACAAUGCUGGGAUUGCAUUGCCUGCCUCUGCAUCAGUGUCUGGGGACAGCCAGGAGGUUUGCUCGUAAUGGGAAUGGUGAGAUUGCCCAGGCAAGCCACUACCUGAACACAGCAAUAGGCCUUGUUGCCUCUCUUCGCUGGCACAGCUCUGCUGGUCCCUGCUCUUGUGACAUUGGCCCUGGGGGUAGGAGACCUGGUCCAGUUCUCGAUAGGAUCUGCUCUUGGCUGUGGGAAGGAAUUGGCCUCCAAGGCUCACUGGACCUGGCAGUUAGGAGGCACUGGGGUGUGGUGCAGGUGUGUCUACCAAGGCCUGGUACUGGUACUGUUCAUCCCCCUAUAUGCAGUGGGUCACUGCAAUCACACAGGAGCUUUUGUUUCCCUGUAGCUGCAGAUGUUCUCAUCAGUGGAGAAAUAAAGCCCCUGAUUUUAUCAUACAUAUACAAAGAGGUCCCAGAUGAGAUCAGGAUUGAGAGUCCCAAUAUCCAAGAGCUUCCAAGACCCCCAAGAAGGUCCCCACGUUAUAGAUCACAUCCCAGGGGCUUGGGCCAUGGUGGAGCUGAGAGCCAAACUGUGUCUUGGUGGAGGCUAUCCCCUGCAUGCUGUCCCCACCUCGAGGCAGGGACUUGCCCUGAUGUCCCCCAUCUCCUUGCAGAAGAUCCGCUUGAAGACCAAGCGGGAGCCAGAGCCCUCAGUGGAGCUGCACGCCCACAUCCGCCAUGGCUCCUUCCACCGCCGCUCCAGCUAUGCCUUCUCCCACAAGGAGGGCUAUGCAGGUCUCAUCACCCGGGGGGACAGCCUGCGCGUGAAGGGCACCCGCAGCACUGUCUUGAGUCUCCUUCACCAAGAAACAACCCCUGCUUCAUCCUCUCUCCAUGUGCCCUCUGCAUAGCCGGCCUGGCUGGGUUCCCAACAACCCCUGCUUUGGGACAGGGGAGUUGCUGUCCUUGGGCACCAGCGAGGCACAGAACUGGCUGGACACCUCCAUCUGCAGGCAUUUUUAUUUUACCUUAUUGGACUUUUUUGGACCGCUGGAGAAGUGCCUGGUCACCUAUCUCUUGA